rnacentral:misc_RNA from 1 species
GUUGAUUUGAGUCGUCUCCUUCUACCCUGCUAAAGGCAUGUAUUUCCACAGCCAACACGUAAAUUUCAACACCUAACCUAAAUAAUUAAGCUUACAAUUUCCAGCAAGAGAAAAGGAAACAGAAACUAGUGAUGAAACCGAUCCUUUCCCUCGUAGAGCAUAGAAUUUGAUCCGCAAAUGAACCCUAUUAAAUUAUACAUAAUCCUAACCUUUUUGCUCGGCCUUGCCAUUACUACUGAAGCACAACCCAAGUAUCUCGUUCAUCUUUGCUCAAACGCAACCACUUUCCCCACAAACAGCACCUACCAGGCCAAUCUAAAUAUCCUCUUCUCUUCUCUUUCUUCCAACGCAUCUCGCAGUAUUGGGUUUCACUUCACCUCCGCCGGCCAGGACCCAGAUGACGUUUACGGCCUAUUUCUCUGCCGUGGCGAUUAUAGCCCCGAUGUUUGUCAAGAUUGUGUCUCCUUCGCCACCCAGGUGGAUCUAGUCCGACGUUGCCCAGUUGAGAAAGAGGGCAUAAUAUGGUACGAUCAGUGCCUUGUACGUUACUCAAACAAGUCUUUCUUCUCCACCGUGGACCAAAAUCCUACGGUGUAUAUGCGGAAUGUAAAUAAUAUCACUGAUGUAGAUCGUUUUAACAAUCUAUUGAUUACAACCAUGAGAGAGGUGGCUGCUGAGGCCGCAUUUGCUCCAUCAGGAACCAAGAAGUUUGCUG